CCAGGAGUGCUGAGGACGAGUGGAACCUGCUCUACGUGGCCGUCACCAGAGCCAAGAAGUGCCUGCUGAUGUCCAGAUUCCUGGAAAACCUUUUAGCUGUGGCUGGAGAGCGUUUCCUCAGGGUGGAGCUGCUGAGCGAGGCUGGGAAGGACAAGGAUGGAGCUCCCAUCACUUGUUGUGUGUCAGGAUGUGCAAAAUCCCUGGAAUUCAGCUCCGGGCUGGUGGUGAAGAAGCUCCCGUUGACUCAUAGCGACGGCAGCCGGGAUCCCGGGGGAUUCCUGUGCCAGGCCUGCACCUGGCAGCUCUUUGGCCCCCUGACUCCUCUCACCUGCUUCCCAAAAAUCUAGAAAGAGCCAAUCCAGCUUCCCAGAGCCAUCCUGGAUGUGGGACAAAUCCUCUUGGCACAUCCCCAGCUCCAAAAUCAGACAGAUUGGAGCAGGAAUUCAGCCCAGCUCCAAAAUCAGGUGGAUGUUGGACAGGAUUUCAGCCCAGUCCCAAAUUUCAGGCAAAUGUUGAAGCAGGAUUUCAGCCCAGCUCCAAAUUCCAGGUGGAUGCUGGAGCAGGAUUUCAGCCCAGUCCCGAAUUCCAGGCAGAUGUUGAAGCAGGAAUUCAGCCCAGUUCCAAAAUCAGAUGGGUGUUGGAGCAGGAUUAAAGCAUUAAAGCCCAGCUCCAAAUUCCAAGUGGAUGUUGGAGCAGGAUUUCAGCCCAGCUCCAAAUUCCAGGUGGAUGUUGGAGCAGGAUUUCACCCCAGAUCUAAAUUCCAGAUGGAUGUUGGAGCAGGAAUUCAGCCCGGCUCCAAAAUCAGGUGGAUGUUGGAGCAGGAUUUCAGCCCAGUCCCAAAUUCCAGGCAGAUGCUGGAGCAGGAAUUCAGCCCAGCUCCAAAUUCCAGGUGGAUGUUCCUCCCAGCUCCAGAGGAAUUUCCAGGCUCCCUGGGGACAGUGUGGUGCCUUUCCUCCAGGAGCUGGGAAUGAGAUUUCCAAAGGAAUCUGCACUUUAGGAAUGGGCUCAGACAGAACAGGGUUCAUUUUGGAAAAUUCCCCUUUUUCCCUCUGUCACCGCUGUCCAAACUUCCCAAAUAUCCCAUCCUGGAUUUCCAAUUCCUGGAAAUCCCAUCCUGGAUUUCCAAUUCCUGGAAAUGCCAUCCUGGAUUUCCAAUUCCUGGAAAUGCCAUCCUGGAUUUCCAAUUCCUGGAAAUCCCAUCCUGGAUUUCCAAUUCCUGGAAAUCCCAUCCUGGAUUUCCAAUUCCUGGAAAUCCCUCUGACCCACUGGAAAAAGGAGGAAAUACAAUGCUGGAAGGUAUCCAAAGAAAGUUUAUUUCUUGGAAAUGGACUGUUCCUGUCCAGCCACGGGAGGAAAUCCUAAACCAAUCCCAGUGAAUUCCUUUUCCAUCCUUGCAGCCUGAGGGGUUUCCCUGGACUCUUUCCCAUCUCCCUGCAGCCAACCAGGAGGGAAGGGAUGAGUCAGCAGGAGAAAAAUUCCUUGGGUUUGGUUUCAGCCAAACUUGGGGGCACACUGGAGAGGGAUUUCCAAUCCUGAAAUUAAAUUUUUAGCCAAAAUAAUAAAAAAAAAAGCCUUAACAUUUCCUUUGUGUCUCCUCCCUGCCCUUAAAUAUCCUUUAUUUCCCAGCCCUCCCAGGAAUGUUCAGCCUCGUGCCACUAAUUCCCUAAUUAAUAACCCUAAUUCCUGUUCUGGGCCAUGGGAAACCAAAACUGAAAGUGAUUUUUAGGGAUCUGCCCUUGCACACAGCCUGCUGCUGCAGGAAGCUCCUGGAUCCUGGGUUUGUUUUUUUUUCUCUUCAUGGAGCUGCUUCCCUCCCUCUCCUUUCAAAUUCUCCAGCUCCAGGAAUGCAUUCCAGGAAUUCCAGCAAACUCUUGGAUGUGGAUGGAAGGGCAGGAAUUCCAUCAAACAAACUCUUGGAUGUGGAUGGGAGGACAGGAAUUUCAUCAAACUCUUGGAUGUGGAUGGAAGGGCAGGAAUUCCCCCAAACUCAUGGAUAUGGAUGGAAGGGCAGGAAUUCCAUCAACCAAACUCUUGGAUGAGGAUAGAAGGGCAGGAAUUUCCCCAAAACUCUUGGAUGAGGAUUUAAGGACAGGAAUUCCCCAAAACUCUUGGAUGUGGAUGGAAGGGCAGGAAUUCCAUCAACCAAACUCUUGGCUGUGGAUGAAAGGGCAGGAAUCCCCCAAACUCUUGGCUGUGGAUGGAAGGGCAGGAAUUCCAUCAAACUCUUGGAUGUGGAUGGAAGGGCAGGAAUUCCAUCAAACUCUUGGAUGUGGAUGGAAGGGCAGGAAUUCCAUCAACCAAACUCUUGGAUGUGGAUGGAAGGGCAGGAAUUCCCCCAAACUCUUGGAUAUGGAUGAAAGGGCAGGAAUUCCCCCCAAAAAAUCCAUGGAAUUCCAGCAGUUGGAUCCCUAGUGCUUCCCAAGCUUUUUGAGAGCUGCCACUGUGCCGUCACCUCCAGGGGAUGGGAAUGAAUCCUUCAUUUCUGUGGCGUCUGGUGGGAAUGGAUUCAUCCCAAUCCCGUCCUUCCCGCCAUCCCCAGUUCAAAAAUCCACUGCUGCGAAAAUAUAUUUAUUUUCUAUAUAAAAUAUAUUUAUUUAUACAGAAAAACAGAGAGUCGCCUUUUCCGGAGUGUAAGGAAACGAGUGGAUAAAACCUGGAUAAAGGAACAAGUGGAUAAAAACUGCUGAUGGAUAAAGGAAAAAACACACAAAGGGAAAUAUUCCCUAAAUUACGUUGUUGGGUCCUUGGUGGUGUCUGCUCCAGCUUGGAUUCCCCGUGAGCCGCUGGGGAUCGGGAUCCAGAGCCCAGAAAGAUCCAGAAGGAUUCCAGAGGAUCCCUGAGCUGAUCCCUGAGUGUGAGCCUGGGAUGGUCCCAACACCUUUGGCUCCGUGGCUGCAAGAGAGCAGGAGAGGGAUCAGCACGUGGGGAAAUGCCUGGCUGGGUCUCUCCAUCCAUUUUCUGGGAUUUGGGAUAAAGCUGGGAAAGGGAUCAGGAUGUGGGGAAAUGCCUGGCUGGGUCUCCCUUCAUCCAUUUUCUGGAAUCUGGGAUAAAGCCAGAAGAGGGAUCGAGAUGUGGGGAAAUGCUUGGCUGGGUGCUCUCCAUCUAAUUCCUGGGAUCUGGGGCAAUUUGGGGACCAGGCCAGGAAAGGGAUGAGGAUGUGGGGCAACGCCUGGCUGGGUCUCUCUCCAUCUAAUUCCUGGGAUCUGGGGCAAUUUGGGGACAAAGCUGGGAAAGGGAUCAGGAUGUGUGAGGGGAAACUUGGUUGGUUCCCUCUCCAUCCCUUCUCUGUGAUUUGGGACAAAGCCAGGAAAGGGAUGAGGAUGUGUGGGAAUGUUUGGCUGGGUCCCUCUCCAGCUAAUCCCUGGGAUUUGGGACACAGCCAGGAAAGGGAUGAGGAUGUGAGGGGGAAAGCUUGGUUUGCUCUCUCUCCAUCCCUUUUCUGGGAUUUGGGAUAAAGCUGGGAAAGGGAUGAGGAUGUGAGGGGGAAAGCUUGGUUUGCUCUCUCUCCAUCACUUUUCUGGGAUUUGGGACAAAGCCAGGAAAGGGAUGGGACAUCCAAAGGGGUGGGACAGGAAUCCAGCUAAUCCAGCUCUAUCCAUUCUCCUGGACAGGGAAUGGGAAUUACCUGGAGCAGGGCAGCUCAGCUUCAUCCCAAACCCCAUCCCAACAUCCCAAACCCUCUCCCUGCCCACCACCAGCAUCCCCAGGGCCAAUUCCCCCCAAAUUCCUUCCAAUCCCAGCUCCUGGUGCGGGACGCUCGCCCACCUUUGGGAUCGUCCGUGGCAGUUGUCCGUGUUCAGCCACACAUCCCUGGCUGCUCCGUGUGCUCCUCCACCCCUCAGGGGACGGCCAGAAUUCCAUCCUCCGGCAUCCCUGGGGAUGGUGGCUGUGCCCAGUGUCCCCAGGGUGGGCGCUCAGCCCGUGGGGACGACGCCAGGAGGUGCCACCUCCUCAUUCCCACGGGGAAGAGCCUCCAUGGGAAUUCCCGUCUCGGUCACGGCGUAGCCUCGCCUGGCGCGCCUGCGGAGGGGAGACGAGCAGCCCUGGCAUUCCAGAGCUUUUCUUGGGAAAUCUUGGAAAACUUGGGGAAAAGGGCACUUACUUCCUCCUCCAGCAGCAGACAGCCCCAAUCCCAAAGGCCAGCAGCAGCAGGAAUGCUGUGGGAUGGACACACGGAGUGAGGAGCAUCUCCCGGCCCGCGGCCGAUGGAUUCCACCAAAACAGCCCCAGAAGGAGCCAAAACCACUCCAGGCAC
ensembl:lncRNA